AUUGAACGCUGGCGGCAUGCUUUACACAUGCAAGUCGAACGGUAACAGGCCGCAAGGUGCUGACGAGUGGCGAACGGGUGAGUAAUGCAUCGGAACGUGCCCAGCCGUGGGGGAUAACGCAGCGAAAGCUGCGCUAAUACCGCAUACGAUCUAUGGAUGAAAGCGGGGGUCCGUAAGGCCUCGCGCGAUUGGAGCGGCCGAUGUCAGAUUAGGUAGUUGGUGGGGUAAAGGCUCACCAAGGCAACGAUCUGUAGCUGGUCUGAGAGGACGACCGGCCACACUGGGACUGAGACACGGCCCAGACUCCUACGGGAGGCAGCAGUGGGGAAUUUUGGACAAUGGGCGCAAGCCUGAUCCAGCAAGGCCGCGUGCAGGAAGAAGGCCUUCGGGUUGUAAACUGCUUUUGUACGGAACGAAACGGCUCUGGUUAAUACCCGGGGCUAAUGACGGUACCGUGAGAAGAAGCACCGGCUAACUACGUGCCAGCCGCCGCCGUAA
rnacentral:rRNA from 1 species